UUUAGUUUUGACUGAAUACUUGAACAAUCAACCAAGAAAGCUGCUUUCUCGAGUCAUAAGAAAUGAGGAAAUUGUUGCACAUCAGUUCCAUCUGGAGCAGAUUUCAGUAUAGCAUUGUGUUCCAACUUCGUUCUCGUCUAGGCCUCCUAGGACAUUUUUAAGCACGAUUUGAAAAGUUACAACAGCAGACAUGGCAGACUUUGCACGCUUGCACAUAGAAUGUCCUCCUUGGAAUAAUUUAGUGUAAAUAGGUCUUUUUGUAAGCUUAUAAACUGUAGCAGUUAUACCUGUUAAUUAUUCAAGCUACUGAUUUUCUUGUGUUAACAUUUUUCUUUUAAAUUUUGUUGUAAAUUUUUUUUUUUUAAAGCAAAUUACUGGAAUUAAAGGCUUAAACUGCGUCUAACAUUUUAAUCUGGGUUUUAGUGAUGGGAAUCAUUUUAAGAUGUUAAUAGAUUGUGCUGUUUUAUAUAAAUUUUGAAAAUAUAAAAAUAUAUAUUUUUAAACCAA